rnacentral:lncRNA from 1 species
GGAAGACAGUCGAAUUUUAUACUUGUUGGUGGUGUUGUCGUGAGUGUGGUGGUACUUAAACAUGGACAGGUUUAUGAAAAGAACAGCAAGCGAACAGCCAAAUCCUGAUGAGGAUCAAAAGAAGAGGAGGCGUGAUUUUUCUAUAGCUUGGGAUCAUUUUAAAAGAAACAGCGAAAAAUGCAUAUGGAUAAAUGGAUAUGCAAUUACUGUGGUAAGCCAAUAAAGACGUGUGGAAACACAACAAAUCUAAUGGACCACUUUAAGCACGUUCAUGCUGAUCGGCUUAAAGUUGGGGAAACUGCACAGAAACCAAAUGUGUUAGAAAAGUUUGUUGGAAAAUUGGUUUCCUUUUAUGAGAAUGACUCGAAACGAAAACUUCUCCUAGACAGUAAGGUAAUGAACGUGAUUGCUGUCGAUGUUCAACCUUUUUUUUGUGUUGAGGACGACGGAUUUAAGGAGCUCAUGAAAGAAAUGGACCCCCGCUACAGGUUACCUAGUAGGUCACACCUACGUCGCGCAGGUGCUUCCAUCUCAAUAUGAGUCUCUUACGAAUAAACUCCAGUCCGUACUUAACGAUAUCGAUUUUGUGGUCAUAACGACUGACUUGUGGAAAUCCAAAGCAAACGAAGGUUACAUUACAGUUACGUGCCAUUUUGUUUCAAAUAGUUUUACGUUGGAGUCGGCAAUUUUAGCAACAAGGCAACUUCUUGACACUACCAAUCACAAUGCUAUUAAUAUUUCUGAAACACUAAAGGGCGUGCUUGAUGAUUAGGGUGUCACGAAAAAGGUUGCGACGAUGCUAAAAGCAUGUGAGUUCACACAAUCAACCUUAUUGUGCAAGAUGCUCUAAAAUUUCCCGAUUUCGACGUAAUUCUUACAAAAUGUAAGUCGGUAGUUGGCUUUUUUAAUAGAAGCCAGAUCGCAUAUUCAAAAUUUAAGGAAGCUCAGGGGGACAAUCCGCAUUCUCUUCUGCAAGAAAUGCCAACUCGCUGGAACAGCGCAUACGAAAUGAUUAAGCGCAUACUGAAGACAACCGAAUUUAUUACAUUAGCUUUGGUAUCUUCUCGUGGCGCUCCAUUGCCGUUUUCAGUAGCAGAAGUGGAUAUUUUAAAUGAUAUAUCCGAGUUGCUAUCCCCCUUCGAAGAGGUGACGCUUUCUGUGUCUACAAACACAAAAGUACCAGCGUCCAUAAUUAUCCCUGUCAUAUGCGAACUAAAUCAUAAAAUAAACCAUGUUAAAGUCAACACAGAAAAAGGCAAAAACAUAUUGACGACCAUAAAGUUUAGUCUUACCAAGAGGCUCGCAAGCUAUGAACCACACACAAUACCACGAAUUGCUACCAUACUAGAUCCCCGCUUUAAGAAACACGGAUUUUGUAAUCCCUUUAAUGCGGAAGAAGGUGCCAAAGCUGUGCAGCAUGAACUGUUUACAAAACUACCCGCAAGCCCACUACAUCCGCCAACAUCACCAACACAGGAACCAAGCCGAUUUUUCUACAAGUCAAAAGCCCAAACAAGGUGCACUCUUCCUGGGCAGAUGCCAUUAUACUGAUGAGACAGCAUUUUGGAAAGGAGAACCAGCCGGAAAAAUGUGACCCUCUUGCGUACUGGCAGAUUACUACAGAUGGCGACGCGUUUAAAACGUUAGCUAAAAAAUACUUCUUCGUGCGCAUCUGAAAGAGUUUUCAGUUAAGCUGGACAACUUAUAAGUGAGCGUCGCACGCGGCUAUCAUCGACCGUUGUCGAUAAGCUCCUCUUCUUAAACAAAAACAAACAUUUUUUAUUUACAAACUAAGGAUAGGACAAUAUACCAAAGAAGUGGAACAUGAAUAUCAUAAACAAUUUUAUUGUAAUUUGUUUUUCGUUUUCUUUUUUAUUUAAUAAGUGAU